GAGUGUUCUUCUCCUCCAGGUGUGCCAGGCAAGGGUGGAGAGCAUCAGUGAUGGCAUCCUCAGUGGAGCGGAUGCAUCGGCAGGCAAACUAGAAUGGGUCGAAUGUUGGCGGCAUCAAUGAUGCUGAUCCUCUUCUCUCCUGGAUCUCUGGUACUGAUUCAGUAACAAGCAACGAAGUUCUGCUCGGACUGCACACCAUCUUCUGGGCACAGACUGGACUUUGGCAGAGACUCCAGUGAGCCUGCCAAAGCAGAUGAGUAGCUGCACACUUUGUCCUGGGAUAGUGUAC